rnacentral:rRNA from 1 species
GUGCCAGCAGCCGCGGUAAUACGUGGAGUCCAAGCGUUAUCCGGAUUUACUGGGCGUAAAGCGUCUGUAGGUGUUUCGUUAAGUCUUCGGUGAAAUCUCCGGGCUCAACUCGGAAACUGUCGAGGAAACUAGCGAAAUAGAGUUUGGUAGAGGUAGAUGGAAUUCUUGGUGUAGAGGUAAAAUUCGUUGAUAUCAAGAAGAACACCAGUGGCGAAGGCGAUCUACUGGGCCAAUACUGACACUGAGAGACGAAAGCGUGGGGAGCGAACGGGAUUAGAAACCCCAGUAGUCC